GAGAGAGAGAGGAGAAUUGUAAUAGAUGCAGGGGGAGAAAUCAAGUACAGGGCUCAUGCAGAGUAACCCCCUCCCAGCACUGGCUCCACAGCAGUGAUGCUCCAAUUAGGUCGCUGACCCAACUGUGCAAACAUAGAACUGCUGACACAGACCUGGAGCCCUUGUGAAAAAUAUUUAAUGCAAAUAAAUUAUGGAGCUCAUCUCGAUUGAGAAGAUGAGGAUGAAGCCCCUCCUUCAUGCUGUAGCUCAAGCAUGCCUGCUACUCUGGCUGAAAGGCAGGAAUGCUCCAAGAGGAAACAUACACCUAAGGUGGGGGGGGCACUGGGUCUCCUACUGAACAGCUUUCCCAGCUGCUUUGGAGCCUGGCAGACUGACCCCCCCCCCCCCCCCCCCUCCGGUGUAGUGAGCCACUACAGCUCCCAGGUGGCAAUGUUGUCCCACUUCUCUGAGCCAGACUGGGCUCAAACCCCAGGAGGCAGUGCGAGUGUUCCCACAGCUGGGCGUGUUUACAAUGACAUCGCCACCCAGAACUACACAGUGUGCGCGCACCUGCUACAAACCACUUGCCCAACAACUGAAGAAAAAGCACAUGAGGAGUUAAUGACUAAAAUACUUGCAUGUGCAGAUUUCAUUUUUGUAAUCUGUCACGUGUCUGGCGCUUGUGCACAGAAGCAACAUUUGCAAAAGCGCGUUGUUUUGGAAAACAUUUCGAGUUGUAGCUGGCCCUAGGUUCUAUAAAUGUUGUAAUUACUGAAUGCUUCAGCCUUUUUGAAGUUGGACAUAUCAGCCAGGUCUCUGGAGGGAGGGUGGUUUGUCUUGACUCACAGUCAGUUGGUAAUGUUUAGCCUCAGAUUAAAGUUUGACACUGACAAAUGAUGGAGAAAUCAGUGAUUAAACCCAGUUCUUAUAAAACUGCAGCUAAGCUCCAUGUGUGUGCUUGAGGCAGUCCUGUUCGGGAUUGUAUCGAACAGGAUGGCCAUCGGAACAUCUGGAGCAGUGCUGCGGACCUUGAUACUAACCAUCUGGCAUAUGGCCUUUGUUGCCCUGGCAAGUUGUGUUUUCACUUGACAAGGGCCCUGGUAUCUAUUUCCUGCUUCCUGACCCCUUGAGCACAGGACAUCCUUGGCCUCUCCCAACCUCUCUGACCUCUUUUACAGCCUUAGUGUCUGGAGCACAGCAUGACCUCUCUAGGAUAAUGGUUCUAUGGACUGAUCUCUACCCUCCCCUGCCUUGACCGUCAGCUGCCCAUCCUCCUCCCUCUGGCCUGGGAGGGUCUGCGCUCCGUGAGUAACAGCUGCAUUCUGCCUGAAAGGAAACCCCAGGUUCCUGAAAAGAUUACAUCCGUUUCAUGAUGACAGGUUCAUGAUCCGGGUCUUUUGAACUUCAGCGCAAUGCAGACGGCAUUUCUAAUCAAUGUUUCAAGAUGGCAAACAUCUACUAUGACUGAAUCUGGAGUUCUGCACAGAGAGAGUUUACUACUGCAUAUCCCACUGGAAGUAAAACCCCCCCAAUCAGUAUAAAAGCUCCCUCAGUGCUGGCAGCGGUUUGUCUGAAUGAAUGAGUUCCAGGAUUCUGUUUGCAGAUCAGUACCGUGGUCUGUCUGUUUCAAUCCCACAUUGCACUCUGCUCAGCUGCAGCUCUGGCUCAACUCAGCACUGAGCUCUCUGCACCACGCUGGCUCCGUCUGUAUCCCAGUCUAACCUGACCGUUAAGCCGCAUCCUCAUUAGUGCUCUUGUUUCUUGCAUUAGAACGGGCGCAUCAGCUGAUACUGAUACCAUGAGGAACCGCAGACAGAUAUAGGAUGAGGCUGGACAAUCUUCCAGAAUCCAUACAGUUUGUGUCCUUUGCAUUCCUAAUGAUCGCCAAAACAACCCCUUUACAACAUCUAUGAGGCGAUAAGAAGAAGAUUUAUCCAAAACAAACUCUCCAGAAUAAUUGGAAGAAAUUCAGUUCCUUAUUCCUGACAUCAGAUGUGUGCUGUUCUCUGGCUGCUAGUCCAGCUCCCCUCCCUGGUCAUUCUCAAUCUGUCACUGUCCUCCGGGACCUAAGAUGUGCCCUCCUCAAACCUGCAGAACCCACAGCAGGGAGCUGGAGCUGCGACUGGCCAGGGACAUCAGGGCUGGUCAGCGAGAGGGACUCCAGCAGACCCACCAGACUUGCCGUAGGGACAAUCGGCUCUACCCCGAGUCUCGCAUCCGCCAGGCUGGGGUUCGAAUCUGCACUCGACUUGCUCAAAGCCAUCACGACCACCGCGCCCUUCCACCACCCCCAGACCUGCCAACGCGGACGGGACGCCUGUUCAGGGACAACACCUGGCAAUGCAGGGCAACAGUCUCGGAACCUUUUUAUUAACAUCUGAGCGGGCAAGGAUCCAGAACAUUGCACGGGGUGUGGGAAUGACGCCCAUGUCCACAGUACGAGACCUCCGAGACAGAGGGGGGCUGGAGGCAAGGCACUAUGAGAACCCUUUUUUCUGUUCUCUGUGUAGAUGUCCAAGAGGAGGCUUGACUGAGGUAUGUUUGGGGAGCAGAACAAGGUCUGUGGCGGACGAAAUGAAGGAAACGCAUUCUUUUUUGCACCAGAGGGAUCUUUCGGACUGCUCUGCCCAGAACUGCACAGGAAUGUCAGGGCGCCAGUGUUUGGGAAUUCUGGAAUAUGCCCGCCGUGGGGAGCUGGGGAUUGGAUUUCCAGUUUGGGGAAGCAAUGAUACUGAGUGUCCAGGAGUCGGCAGGUCGCGCCAGCAGUUGUGCAAUGGGGGUGGCAGCUGUCCAGCUGGGAGACAGUCUGAGGUACAGACACACCUCCCAGAGGUCACACACUGCAGCACAGAGCCGCCUGGGCCUGGGCAUUGGCAGCAUUCUGCCAAGCCACCUCCAACAAAAACAACGGAAAAUGAAUAGUGAAAAGCAAAGGUAUGGGGCAUGGUCAAGUCUAAAGGGAAGCUGAACAGAACUUGUGAAAUAUGUGUUUGGUUCAUCUGUUUGGUUUUGAAGCUUAAGAGUGAGCUGGACUGAAAAGGCUCAA